rnacentral:rRNA from 2 species
UAGGGAAUCUUCGGCAAUGGACGAAAGUCUGACCGAGCAACGCCGCGUGAGUGAAGAAGGUUUUCGGAUCGUAAAACUCUGUUGUUAGAGAAGAACAAGGACGUUAGUAACUGAACGUCCCCUGACGGUAUCUAACCAGAAAGCCACGGCUAACUACGUGCCAGCAGCCGCGGUAAUACGUAGGUGGCAAGCGUUGUCCGGAUUUAUUGGGCGUAAAGCGAGCGCAGGCGGUUUCUUAAGUCUGAUGUGAAAGCCCCCGGCUCAACCGGGGAGGGUCAUUGGAAACUGGGAGACUUGAGUGCAGAAGAGGAGAGUGGAAUUCCAUGUGUAGCGGUGAAAUGCGUAGAUAUAUGGAGGAACACCAGUGGCGAAGGUGGCUCUCUGGUCUGUAACUGACGCUGAGGCUCGAAAGCGUGGGGAGCAAACAGG